UAUGGUUCCUGAUUAAAGCCAUGAUGUACACAAGUGUUUAUAGGGAAUCGAUCUUACCGGGAUCGAAUCCCACUACGGUAACAUACGAGGGUAUCCAAACAACACAUACUAUCCAAAUAAAAAAAUAUGGAGUUCCGGUUUAGACCAUGGGCGUGCGACGACCCCGAUGAAAUUCGGGAUAUCACGGUCUUCGUUAAUGUUAAUAAGCGUCCGUCAGAUCAGUAGGCGAAACGCAAUAUCCGCACAAUAAGAUGUCUGCGACUCGAAAGAAUAUUCAAAGUAAGCUGUUAAUUUUGUUGCGUCAGAAGCUAAUCAGCCGGUAACGUGACUACACUGAUAUAGAUUGUGAUACAAACAUGCUUUAUUCAAUACUGAGUAGCAUUUUUAAACGGCGACAUUUUGAACAUUUUCAUAUUUAGAGUGAGAGUGGAUACACGUUACACUGGCGGCGACAUUUUGAAAAUUUGAGGAAACAAAAACAUUCUCCAACGAGUUUUUCAGCUCGGGGAAUGAAAGAAUAGAUUCACCUUUGUGUCGCUUUUCAGAUCGUAUUUAAUUCCUUUCCGGUACUUUAGUUUCUAUGAACUUCUUUGUUACUAAGCCUAUAUUGAAUUUUUAAAAUUAAGAAAUCCGUGAUUUUACUUGCAGGCAUGACUGAUUAAUGGAAUUAUUUUACUUUUAUAUAGAAUAUGGACGGCACUCCAUUACAGCAUGUGCAUGGUUGGACCUGUUGACAUUUUUAGAAACGCAUAUUGGUCUAUUAUACAGAGUAUUGUUGUACUGCUCCAAAGUGCUUGUUGACAGACUGAAACCACUUGCUUGAGGCUCAUAAGGUUCACUUCUUGAGAGAAGGCAGCUACAAAAUGGAAGGUCAACAAAUCCAGUAUACUUGGAAAGCAGAAAGAAACACCAGAAAAUAUAAAAAGACAGAAGA